AGAAUGUUUAGUUUUCUGACAAUCGCUGGAUUGUCUGGUUCAGACCCGAUUUGCUUACAAACAACACCAUGCAGCUAUAAUACUGCUGAAACAAAUGGCUGCUCGUGAUGUAGACAAAACUAUACAAUCUACUCUGCUUUGGGCAGAGAUUUCGUAUGAAUGCGGAAAAGGUUUUGUCGCUUCUAUCGCUAUAUAAGAAUGACAUCAUCCGCAAACAUCGAAAGCGAUCACUUAAGUGCAAAUUAUGCAUAUUCCCAUUAGCUUUAAGUGUACAUAACUGAUAAUAAUUCAAUCAAUCUCUCCAUUGUGUGACUUCUCCGAUGCGUUUAUAAUACAGGGAGUAUCACUUGUU